AGCGAACGCUGGCGGCAUGCCUAACACACGCAAGUCGCACGGGGGGGCUUCGGCCUCCCAGUGGCGGACGGGUGAGGAACGCGUAGGGACCUGUCGAGGGGUGGGGGAUAACCGCGGGAAACUGCGGCUAAUACCGCAUGACGCCGCGGCGUGACAGCCGGGGCCAAAGGCGAAAGCCGCCCGCCGAGGGGCCUGCGUCCGAUUAGCUGGUUGGCGGGGUAGCGGCCCACCAAGGCGUCGAUCGGUAGCUGGUCUGAGAGGGUGAUCAGCCACACCGGGACUGAGACACGGCCCGGACUCCUACGGGAGGCAGCAGUGGGGAAUAUUGGACAAUGGGCGCAAGCCUGAUCCAGCAAUGCCGCGUGGGUGAAGAAGGUCUUCGGAUUGUAAAGCCCUUUCGGCGGGGACGAUGGUGACGGUACCCGCAGAAGAAGCCCCGGCUAACUUCGUG
rnacentral:rRNA from 1 species